rnacentral:rRNA from 1 species
UACAGUGGCGUACGGGUGAGUAACACGUGGAUGAUCUACCUCUUAGUGGGGAAUACCUCUGGGAAACCGGAGACAAUACCGCAUAAGCUCGGGAGAGGAAACCUGGAAACGGGGCUGAGAGAGGAGUCCGCGGCCGAUUAGCUAGUUGGCGGGGUAAUGGCCCACCAAGGCAGUGAUCUGUAUCCGGCCUGAGAGGGCGCACGGACACACUGGAACUGAAACACGGUCCAG